rnacentral:lncRNA from 1 species
UUAUUGUUUGCACAAUAUAUAUUUUUUUCACUUUCUACUUAAUGUACCUUUGUGUUAUGGACUGAAUUGUGCCCUUCCCUCAAAUUCAUAUGUUGAAAUUCUAAUCCUCCAAGGUGACUGUAAUUGGAGAAAGGACCUGUAAGGAGAUAAUUAAGGUCAAAUUAAUCUAUAAAGGUGAGAACCUAAUUCUAAUCCUGGUGUUCAGUGGUGUAAGAGUGGAAGAGACACCAAAGACCUCACUCUCUUCUUUUGUGCAUAGAGGACUGGCCAAGUAAGGACACAGCUGAGAAAGCAGCCUGCAAGCCAUUAAAGAAGACCUCACUAGAAAACAACACUGGCACCUUAAUCUUGGACUUCCAGACUCUGCAAAGGUCUGAAGCUUGUUCCUGUUAGAAGUCUUCAAUGUCAACUGAAGGGAGAAACUGAAGUUCAUAGAAGUAUGCUGUCCAAAGUCACUUAUCGCAAACUAGAGGAAGGAAGAGGAGCCAUUAGCCAGGAAUUACCAGCAUGUUCUCACCAACAGAGGAUAUUGAGGCUGGGCAAAUUGACUGGAUAUUACAAAGUACGGCUGAGGAGGUGUUGACUAUAUGUGUUACCCAGAUAUCGUUGCCACAUAGUCAAGAACAGAUGGUUCCACACGUUCUGCUGCCAUCCUGAUCAACUGCCUCACUGAUGUGCACACUGCUCCACAGCGAUUUGUGGUCUCUGCUGUUAGAAGUGCCAGCAGCUGGCAACUUGUAAAUGACCCAUCCUUUCAUUAAUAAUAAUAAUAAUCACAAUAAUAAAAAUGCCAUCUUCUAGA